GUGCCAGCAGCCGCGGUAAUACGGAGGGUGCAAGCGUUAAUCGGAAUUACUGGGCGUAAAGCGCGCGCAGGCGGUUCCUUAAGUCUGAUGUGAAAGCCCCCGGCUCAACCGGGGAGGGUCAUUGGAAACUGGGGAACUUGAGUGCAGAAGAGGAGAGUGGAAUUCCACGUGUAGCGGUGAAAUGCGUAGAGAUGUGGAGGAACACCAGUGGCGAAGGCGACUCUCUGGUCUGUAACUGACGCUGAGGUGCGAAAGCGUGGGUAGCAAACAGGAUUAGAUACC
rnacentral:rRNA from 1 species